UUUUAGGAGAAGUCUGGAAAUAAUUCUGCACACUUGGCUGCAUUGUUUUCAAUAAGAGGAAAUGACAUAGGAGAAAAGAGAGAAAAGAACCUUUCUCCCAGCUCAUAAACACGGUUUCUUUUAGUGGGAUUCAGAGAUCAAGUUGGUGACCAGGCUUGUGUAAAUAUAU